AGAUGCUACCGUGGUCAAAACCAG
rnacentral:piRNA from 1 species